AAGCCUUCCUCUGCAGCUCUUCUGACAAGGCCCACCCGCUUGUCCUCCUUUUGUUUUCGUCUUCCUCGAGGCUGCCCUUCCUCUACCAGCUGCUGAGGUGUUGCAGCCGUGUCGCCGCACCUCUGAUCUCCUACCCGCCGAUGUUCGUGCGCCAUGGAACGAUUGGGUUGAGCUGUUCAUCGAACAGAUCUAGAUCGAUGGUCCCUGCUUCAUUCACCCGUCAUUCGUGAGAUUGGUUCUGUCCGUUUAUUUGUCCAUCCACCACGUCUAGCUUCAACGCCCUGCCUCUUUAUGUUGAGUAAAAUGUAUGAUGUUGGAGAACAUCAGCCGAAACGUAGUGUUAUUGCAGGCUGGUCUGAUGGGCCUCCACAAUGAGGAUGCCAAUUAUCCUAAGAAGAGGUGCAUGAUGUUUCUUGUCUGUUUAGGCCGUGGAUUUCCAUCUCUACUGUCAUUGUUUACUUGUGUUUCUUCCUCUUUGGCAGGGUGAUGUGGCCACUAUAUGUGCAAGUUGCAAAUCUUCUUUGGUUGACCGGAAAGAAGGGAAAGUAGCUCCAUGCAUGUUCAAUGACUUUGGGCUAUCUAUGGAAGAUAUCUUCAUAGGAUCAUUUUCUUGUUCUUUAUAUCAUGCUCUUUCCUUGUGUAAAUGCUUAUGUGGAUCCCUCCAUUCUCCUGUUAUAGGUACCAAUCCAUCUUUGUGCUGAUGCAUACUCCUUUUGAUCAAGGACUAUUUUGCUUUGUAUGUGAAUUGUGCAUGUGGUCAUGUCUAAAUGGUGAUGUGUAUUACGCUAUUGAAUUGUAUUGAAAUAAAUUGUUUUUACCUGCAAAACGAA